rnacentral:rRNA from 1 species
UACGUAGGGUGCGAGCGUUAAUCGGAAUUACUGGGCGUAAAGCGUGCGCAGGCGGUGAUGUAAGACAGAUGUGAAAUCCCCGGGCUCAACCUGGGAACUGCAUUUGUGACUGCAUCGCUGGAGUGCGGCAGAGGGGGAUGGAAUUCCGCGUGUAGCAGUGAAAUGCGUAGAUAUGCGGAGGAAUACCUAUGGCGAAGGCAAUCCCCUGGGCCUGCACUGACGCUCAUGCACGAAAGCGUGGGGAGCAAACAGG